rnacentral:rRNA from 1 species
GACAUGGGAAGCUUGCUUCCUAUGAAAUCGAGUGGCAAACGGGUGAGUAACGCGUAAACAACCUGCCCUUCGGAUGGGGAUAACAGCCGGAAACGGCUGCUAAUACCGAAUACGAUCUUUUCGUCGCAUGACGGAAAGAAGAAAGGAUGGCCUCUAUACAAAGCUAUCGCCGAAGGAGGGGUUUGCGUCUGAUUAGCUGGUUGGAGGGGUAACGGCCCAACAAGGCGAUGAUCAGUAGCCGGUCUGAGAGGAUGAACGGCCACAUUGGGACUGAGACACGGCCCAGACUCCUACGGGAGGCAGCAGUGGGGAAUCUUCCGCAAUGGACGAAAGUCUGACGAAGCAACGCCGCGUGAGUGAAGAAGGUCUUCGGAUUGUAAAACUCUGUUAUACGGGACGAAAAAGACGGAUGCCAACAGUAUCCGUCCGUGACGGUACC